UGCGGAGGGGGCGAGCGUUGACAGGAUUUACUGGGUGUAGAGGGUUCUCAGGCGGGUCUGUAAGUCAGGGGUGAAAUCCCAGAGCUUAACUCUGGAACUGCCUUUGAUACUGCAGAUCUCGAGUUUGGGAGAGGCGAGUGGAAUAUCUGGUGUAGCAGUGAAAUGCGUAGAUAUCAGAUAGAACACCAAUGGCGAAGGCAGCUCGCUGGCCCAAUGCUGACGUUAAAGCACGUAAGCGUGGGGGGCAAACAGG
rnacentral:rRNA from 1 species